UCUAUGCUAGAUAUGCUGUUUAUUUCAGUUUUGUUAGUUUCUAGGUUGGUUCGUAUCACGCAUCAUCAUUAUUAGUCGCAUCUAGACCUCCAACACUGGGCAUUGUAAGCUGAGGAAUUGGUCUUGAAGGUCUUUCUAAUGUCUUGGCUGGUCUCUGGGGUACUGGAACGGGUUCCACAACUUUGACCGAGAAUGUACAUACAAUUGCUGUUACUAAAAUGGGAAGUCGAAGAGCAGUUGAGUUGGGCUCAUGCAUUUUAAUUAUCCUAUCCUUUAUAGGUAAAGUCGGGGGUUUUAUUGCUUCAGUACCUGACGUCGUGGUAGCCGCUCUCGUGCUUUACGUGGGCAAUGCUUACAGCAUUGGGGUUGUCAAAUUUACGAUAUAGUGAGGCUGGGAGUUCAAGGAACAUUAUAAUUGUUGGCUUGUCUCUGUUCUUUUCCCUAUAAAUACCAGCUUAUUUUCAGCAGUAUGGUAUCUCUCCAAACUCGAACUUGUCCAUUCUGAGUUACUUCCAGCCGUAUAUUAUUGCUUCUUAUGGUCCUAUACGAACCAAAUUUGGAGAGCUAAAUUAUGUGCUGAAUACAUUGUUGUCCUUUAACAUGGUGAUUGCAUUCGUGGUAGCUGUAGUCCUUGACAACAAGUUCCAGGCAGUCGACAGGAACGUGGUGUAUGUCUGGUCUGAACCCGAGGCAGCUAGAAGAGAGCCUGCUGUAUGAAAAGACUACGAAUUGCCAUACAGAGUUGGCAGAGUUUUCAAAUGGGUAAAAUGGCUAGGGAUGUAAAUGAUUUUUCAUCGUCUCUCUUGAAGAUCUUCCGAUAUCAUCUGAUACUGUCAUGAAUGAGUCUUCUUGGACUUGUGCGUGCUUAUUCCAGUGUGGAUUUCGCGGGCUUACAGAUCUUAAAGAGAUGAGUUAUUUUGUGUACAAUGCAGAUUAGGUAAUUGUUUUCGUUUCUCAUGUAUUAUAAUCCUUAAAUUGUAAAAACAUGUAUGUAUAUUUUUUGAGCGGUCUUCA